rnacentral:rRNA from 1 species
CCUACGGGUGGCAGCAGUGGGGAAUAUUGGGCAAUGGGCGCAAGCCUGACCCAGCAACGCCGCGUGACGGAAGAAGGCUUUCGGGUUGUAAACUUCUUUUCUGCGGGACGAAGAAAGUGACGGUACCUCAGGAAUAAGCCACGGCUAAAUACGUGACAGCAGCCGCGGUCAUGCGUCGGUGGCCAGCGUUAUCCGGAUUUAUUGGGUGUAAAGGGCGUGUAGGGGGGAAAGCAAGUCCGAUGUGAAAACUCAGGGCUCAACCCUGAGACUGCAUUUGAAACUGUUUUUCUUGAGUGCUGGAGAGGCAAUCGGAAUUCCGUGUGUAGCGGUGAAAUGCGUAGAUAUACGGAGGAACACCAGUGGCGAAGGCGGAUUGCUGGACAGUAACUGACGCUGAGGCGCGAAAGCGUGGGGAGCAAACAGGAUUAGAUACCCCGGUAGUC